GUGAAUCUGUAGCCUCCGAGGCUCACACAUUCUCUAUCCCUUUACACACCUGUGCACCCUUUCUGAAGCGGAGAGUUAUUAGGCCGUCCCGGUCGAGGGCCUCCCUUCGGUUACACUACAUCAACUUCGAACCACGUUUACUAGAACGUCGUACCGUCUUGUCGUAACGGCAAGCACAAUCCAAUA
rnacentral:misc_RNA from 1 species